rnacentral:lncRNA from 1 species
GGAACAACAUCCCAAGUAUGGUUAGUGUCCAAAGCUUCAAACUCCUGUCUCAUGGCAGCUUGUCAAGCUGGAACAGAUGCAGCCUGAGAAUAGUAUAGAGGCUCAGAUUCCAAAGAGGAUGAAGAUGAGCCAGAGAAGGCAGGGAGUUGGUAGACAUAAUCCUGAAGAUAGGAAGGAGGAUUAUGUUGUCUUUGAGACUUUCUU